CCUCCAAUGAAGCAGGAGGUGGGGUUUUAUUAGCUGACAAUACAGCACUUGGAACUGUGGAGUAAGGAACUCUGCUUUUGCAAGGUUUUCCAGCUGUACAAUUCAUUUUUAAGGUCAGCUAACUCACUGGGAAGAUUAGACUUGGACUCUGACAAAAGCAGGAACCAUGAAUGUGCAGACCGUUUCUUCCUGGUAGUGUAGAAGAUACGAAGGUACCCUGUGUUACACCAGGCACUGUUGUUAUCUGGGCACUCAAGGAGCAAAGCCAACCUCCCAGCAGAGGGAAUCUCAGCGUUGGGUCCUCUAGAGACAUUUUCACCAAUGCAUACACCCACAUAUCUGACCACAGCCACGUAUGCCACUGUCACCACAUCACCACAUCACCCUGCCGCUGGACAAAUCGCUUCUCUGCUCUGUGCUUAUUACAAGACAAGGUGUGUCUUUACAGCAGCCAAACAGGAACUGAAAUACAUCCUCGUGUCUGGUGUUGACAUAAACCCAAGCUGCUGUAGAAUUCCAUGGGAAAUUAUGGUGAAAAAAGGAUGAGUUUUCCCUAAUUCUCAUGUCUGUCCCAGCCAUCAGCCCUGUUUCCAGGCCACCAGAGGGCUGUCCAAGCCCACUCUGGCUUCACCACCUCACCUCAUUUCUCUACACGUGCAAAAUCCUCUCAGCACCAAGCACUGCAAUUGGAAAUGCCAUAAAAAAAGCAAAGAGCUCCCCUCUGAAGCCCAGCUGCAUCCUUUAGCACCUCAGGCAUCCCAGCCAUUCGCUAGCACAGGCUCCAUGGUUUCCAUGCCCCCAGCCACCUGUUCUGGGGGAGUUCUGGACAGCAGCUUGGAAAAUUCUGAGAAAGAAGAAAUAAACGUAACCAAAUUCCAUAGAAUGACAGAAUGGCUUGGAUUGGAAGGGACCUCAAAGAUCAUCUAGAUGCAAAUCCCUGAUGCGGACAGGGUUACUGAAAUUAAGAUUUAUUUAUUUUUUUAACAAUUUAAGAAUUCCAAUGCUCACCUGACAUCAAAUUUGUUAAAACAAUUUUUUUUUUUCCCACUUCAGUUGUAAUUGUCACUUUUAUGAACGUUUUCAAACAUUUCAUAUUUUUUAUACCUUAGUUCCAUUCACCCACGCAGCGUUUUGCUUUAGUAUCAUCACACAUGCCCAAAUCCUCGAUGAAACACUCGUUUGGAUUGCAGCAAAACUGAGAGCAAUCCAUAUGCCAUCCUCCUCACACAGUUGUCCCAUUUACUAUUGGACAGGCAAGCCUAAUAAUAAGUUGACAAACAUGACUUUCUUUCUUGUUGGACAAAAUACACAAAUUGUAUCUUUUUUUUUUCUGAGGAGGAGUAAAAUACUAAGGCUUCUGGUCAUUCUUUCUCUUCUUUCCCAGUGCUGUUGACUUUACUGCUCAACUCUGCUACUGCUUAAAAAUAAAAUGACGUGAUUUCUCAAAGUGUGUAAACUCUCUUAUCUGCAAAGCUAUGUCUUCACUGGUACACUCACAACUGCUUUCAUUUCUGUUCUACAGCCCUGCACGCUCCCCAAGAGCAGACACAACAACCACGGUUAUUUACACCCCAGCAUCAGCUACACAGCUUGUUUCCCCCACAGUUAACAGUAGCUAAGUCCUGAUGAAAAACAGACCGUAGGAAUGACAGUGCUAAUAUGGAGAUACAUAAUGUGGGCAUUCAGAGAUGCACACAGAACUGCAGAAAUAAUCAUCUUUAUUUAGCUUCGUCUAUACGAGUCAUCUUCCACUGGCAUUUCACCCUAAUCGCAAGAAGCAUUGGGUGCCAAGGGUUUUACUGUCACUCUCCAAGCCAGUUCCUGCAUAUUCAUGGCUAAAAGCCAGAGCAGAAGGAAGAUUUAGGUGCCAGCAAUGGUUCUUAUGCCAACGAUCAAUACUGCAGAUAUUUAAAGGUUUGAUCUGAAAUCCAGAGAUGCGCCAGAGAUGACACAUGCAGAGAACUAAGAUCAGCAGAAAUCCUCCUUGGCUCUAAGUUACAGUGAGGUAUAAGCAGCCUGCUUACAGCAUGACAGGGAGGAUUUUGUCAGAGCAGUCCCUUCAUGCUGCAAUUCAUGUCUGUGGGCUGGAGAGCUCCAGGCUUUAAGCUAAGCAUACAGAGCAGCAAAAGAAAACUGUAGGUCACACUGUCCUUACUCUCUGAGCUAUGCUCACUGCAUGUUUCCUCCUGAGAUACGCAGCGCAGAAUCUGGCACACCAACAUCACCUAAGCAUUUCAAUUAACCUAGAUUCAGUUUCACUUCUGUCUUCCCAAUGCAUCCAAGAGACUGUGAACCUACCUUGCUAAUGUUAGCUGGGGUUAUGAAAUGCGUGAAAUCAAAGACAGCAAAAGUGACAUCGGGUGUUACCGCGACACACCCAGCCCUUACGCAGCCACUCUGCCCAUUUCACACCUCCUUUACCUGAUUCUUUGGUAUCUGUGAUUUAGAUACUAACUUUUAGACAGCAGGCAGUGCCAACUAAUAUUUCUGCAUUGCUCAGCCAGCAGGCUAUGCUGCUUGAAAGAGUGGGGAGCGAUAAUAAGGCACACCUAUCAGAGACAAAGGUACCAUCCUUCC
rnacentral:lncRNA from 1 species